AGGAAAGGGAGGGAUUCGA
rnacentral:tRNA from 5 species